CCUACGGGGGGCUGCAGUGGGGAAUAUUGGACAAUGGGGGGAACCCUGAUCCAGCCAUGCCGCGUGUGUGAAGAAGGCCCUCGGGUUGUAAAGCACUUUCAGUGAGGAAGAACGCCUGGUGGUUAAUACCCAUCAGGAAAGACAUCACUCACAGAAGAAGCACCGGCUAACUCCGUGCCAGCAGCCGCGGUAAUACGGAGGGUGCGAGCGUUAAUCGGAAUUACUGGGCGUAAAGCGCGCGUAGGUGGCUUGAUAAGCCGGUUGUGAAAGCCCCGGGCUCAACCUGGGAACGGCAUCCGGAACUGUCAAGCUAGGGUGCAGGAGAGGAAGGUAGAAUUCCCGGGGUAGCGGUGAAAUGCGUAGAGAUCGGGAGGAAUACCAGUGGCGAAGGCGGCCUUCUGGACUGACACUGACACUGAGGUGCGAAAGCGUGGGUAGCAAACAGGAUUAGAUACCCCUGUAGUC
rnacentral:rRNA from 1 species